rnacentral:lncRNA from 1 species
UUAUAUACGGCUCAAUGACAUCACAAUUGAAUAACAUGUAGCAGUGUGCCUUAUCUCUUUCCUUAAGGCUCAAAUCAGUGAGGCGGUAUGAAGUGAGAAGUCUAUCUGACUAUGGAAUGGACUCAAAUACAGGCUCAAUUGGCUCAUACUGACCAUCCUGAUUCUUCAUUAGCCGGUUACGACAUGUCUUGAGCUUGUUUAAGUAUAUAGUACAAAAAUCCAUACACUUUUAACUCAAAUAAUCUUUUGCUAUGGAUCCCUCC